rnacentral:rRNA from 1 species
UAAAAACCCCGACUUCGGAAGGGGUGUAUUUAUUAGAUACAAAACCAAUGCCCUUCGGGGCUCUUUGGUGAUUCAUGAUAACUAUACGAAUCGCACGGCCUUGCGCCGGCGAUGGUUCAUUCAAAUUUCUUCCCUAUCAACUUUCGAUGUUUGGGUAUUGGCCAAACAUGGUUGCAACGGGUAACGGAGGGUUAGGGCUCGACCCCGGAGAAGGAGCCUGAGAAACGGCUACUACAUCCAAGGAAGGCAGCAGGCGCGCAAAUUACCCAAUCCCGACUCGGGGAGGUAGUGACAAUAAAUACUGAUACAGGGCCCUUUCGGGCCUUGUAAUUGGAAUGAGUACAAUUUAAAUCCCUUAACGAGGAACAAUUGGAGGGCAAGUCUGGUGCCAGCAGCCGCGGUAAUUCCAGCUCCAAUAGCGUAUAUUAAAGUUGUUGUGGUUAAAAAGCUCGUAGUUGAACCUUGGGCCUGGCUGGCCGGUCCGCCUCACCGCGUGCACAGGUCCAGCCGGGCCUUUCCCUCUGUGGAAAUUAUACCCUUCGGAAGGCUUGACGGGUGAACAAAUCAUUUACUUUG